CCAGAGACUAGUGGGAAAGCAUUCCAGUGUCUUCUUGCCAACUUUGCCUCUUGUGGGAUUUCAGCCAUUUCUCAUGCAAGUAAGCUAUGGGAUACAGCCUAUGUGGUGGUGAAGAGAAGGGACCAAGUGGUCAUGCCUACAUCCCAGCACCUACGAAUUUGAAAAAGAAAAGAAACGAAAAAGAAAGAAAAAAAGAAAGAAAAUUGAUUAGAUCGACCAGCAAACAGACUGAAAAAGGAUUGAAAUUACAUCCUUUUCGCCUAGAAGUCAAGCUAUGAAGCACUUUAUAGUCUGUAAACAAGCUGCAGGAGUGAUCGGUGCUCCUGAAGAGCUAGGUUGGCCCCAUUGGGUGGGGCUUAGUGUCAUGGCUCCUUUCUCCACUAGAUGGCGCUGCUUAGCUUACUAGAGUGGAUUGUUGUGGUGCUUGCAGGUGUGUAUGCACAUGUGCCAGAGUUGCGAAAAUGGCGUCACCCAGCUAUCCAGUCUGUAGUAUCCGGAUUCUGUGCUCUCCCCAACCAGCAAAUAUGCACCCAUCCUUUGUCUCCAGCCUCCGUCCACUCCCUGCUUUUACAUUGUGACCAAGCCGUGGGGUUGCCAGGCAGCACCUCCCUCCUGAGUUUUAUAUCAGAUGCGGCUGUGUUUCCCUCACUUCUGAGGGACUGCGGCUUUGACCCACUGAGAUCCUGUGGGUCUCACUGAGCAACGGCCAGGUGCAGGCUGCACCCAGAAAUGUUUGUGGGACCAUGCUGCUGCCGAUGCCCAGAGACUGCGGCUGAGUGCCAGCCUGCCCCAGAAAAAGUUUGCGUGAUCAUGUAGCAGCAACGUUUCAGGGAUUUUGGAAAAUCACAACACACAUCUGGCACCCGGCUUCACUUUUAAGGACCUUGUUUCAGCACCCGCGAAUGUGGUUGUUCUCUGGGGUUCGCUGGGACCAGGUGGAUACACAGCUUCUACCAAAUGCAUUUCAGCAGUGGAACUGCUUCUCUCGUGUGGCCCGAGGACCUUCUGGACCCCAUUCUGCUCCUGGGGAUUCACCCUUCUCACCAGAGCACUGCCAGGUAUUGAGCUGUGGCGUUUAACACUCUGUGCUCCCCGUUUAUAGAAUCUUAAUGGAAUUGAAACCCUUUCCUUCCUCCUUUCUCCCUUUCUAGUU